UCGAAACCUGCAGUAGCAGAAAGACCCGCGAACACGUUAAAAAACACACGGGGGGCAGCGUUCGGCCUUAGGCCAGCAAUGCCCCUCGCGUCCGGGGAGAGCCCCCCUCUAAUCGAGUUGGGUUCCUCCCGGCACCAACGAACCCCGGCGCGGAUUGCGCCAAGGACUAUGAACAUUAGCGCGUCCCGCGUCCCUCGGUUAGUCCGAUGUGUGCGCGGGGCGACGUGUCGUUUCGAUUUACUUGAACGACUCUCGGCAACGGAUAUCUCGGCUCUCGCAUCGAUGAAGAACGUAGCGAAAUGCGAUACUUGGUGUGAAUUGCAGAAUCCCGUGAACCAUCGAGUUUUUGAACGCAAGUUGCGCCCGAAGCCUUCGGGCCAAGGGCACGUCUGCCUGGGCGUCACGCACCGCGUCGCCCCCCACCCCAUCCAAUGGGAGUGUUGGGGCGGAUUCUGGCCCCCCGUGUGCUGCCCGCUCGCGGUCGGCCUAAACACAGACCCCGUGGCCGUGAAAUGUCGCGAUGAUUGGGGGUUUCCGGAAGACCUAUGCCUCGAGCUUCGGGUUUAUAAUUAGGCGGCGGAGGGGAGGUCAAAGGAUCGUUUCGGCAGGCCCACCAACAGGCGGAGGAGAAGUCGUACCAACAUUUCUGCCGUAAUUCAU
rnacentral:rRNA from 1 species